rnacentral:rRNA from 1 species
AUACGUAGGGUGCAAGCGUUAAUCGGAAUUACUGGGCGUAAAGCGUGCGCAGGCGGUUUUGUAAGACAGAGGUGAAAUCCCCGGGCUUAACCCGGGGACUGCCUUUGUGCCUGCAAGGCUAGAGUACGGGAGAGGGGGGUGGAAUUCCGGGUGUAGCGGUGAAAUGCGUAGAUAUGCGGAGGAACACCGAUGGCGAAGGCAAUCCCCUGGGCCUGUACUGACGCUCAUGCACGAAAGCGUGGGGGGCAAACAGGAUUAGAUACCCUGGUAGUCCACGCCCUAAACGAUGUCAACUGGUUGUUGGGUCUUCAUUGACUCAGUAACGAAGCUAACGCGUGAAGUUGGCCGCCUGGGGAGUACGGCCGCAAGGUUGAAACUCAAAUGAAUUGACGGGG